ACUUCAGCCAAAACCACCCCCCUCUCAGUUUUGACAUGUUUCCUGUUCUGUUCAGAAUAUCAGAAGCCCUUUUCCUGUUGUAAUGUGCAUCUUCUCAUUACAUAAAUCCCCCUGAAGCUCAGACGCACAACAUCAGCAGAGAUCUCAGAGUUGUGAUGGAUGUUUCUUCUCUUCAGAUCAAGGUGGGAUGCAGAAAUGAGACAACACAGAGAGAAAACUGUUGGAGCAUCAGAAACCAGAUAAUCAAAAACAACAGAAAUGGAGUCCAGAAAUGAGACACAAACCAGUGAAACACAAGAGAAAAACAGACAGACGCUUGUUAGAUGCGACAGUAUGAAGAAAGUAAACCCAAGCUUCUCUCGUGAUCCAGACGGACCUGUAAACUUUAAUUCUGGAGAAACUUCAGCAUGUUCUGAAGAACACACAACAUCCCUGAGACAGCAGCAGCUGAAGACAACACCAUCAUGAUCACAGACUCCAUCCAUCCACACUACAGUCUGCUCAGAUCUCCUCUUUCAUCUGUUCAUCCUCAUUAUUCAUCUCUGCCUCGUUUGGUUCUUCAAACUGUUGAUUUGAUUCAGAUAUCUGGAUGAAGUUGUCUGAGAUUACUGUGAACUCACAGCUCAGACGAAUUUUACAUAAUGUGUGUUUGACUGCAAUUAAAUCAUGAGAUAAUUAUUCCUUCACUAAUAAACCUCUCAAUGAGUAAAACUGGUUGCAUUUAUUAUUGUAGAUAACACACAUUUUUAAUUAUUCUCAAAAUAAUUUUAAAAUUACCGGUAUAAUCUUUCAUAAUUAUUUUUUUCUGGCUCAAUAAGGUACACUUGUAAGAAAGUAGCAGUGGUUGGGAGAGAUUUUCAGCUAAUGUGAUUCAGUCUAAUCCUUUUUACGUGAAAUAAAGCUUGAUCCGGAGCAGGUUUGAGCAAACGGACCUG